UGCAGUCGAGCGAACAGACGAGGAGCUUGCUCCUCUGACGUUAGCGGCGGACGGGUGAGUAACACGUGGAUAACCUACCUAUAAGACUGGGAUAACUUCGGGAAACCGGAGCUAAUACCGGAUAAUAUAUUGAACCGCAUGGUUCAAUAGUGAAAGACGGUUUUGCUGUCACUUAUAGAUGGAUCCGCGCCGCAUUAGCUAGUUGGUAAGGUAACGGCUUACCAAGGCAACGAUGCGUAGCCGACCUGAGAGGGUGAUCGGCCACACUGGAACUGAGACACGGUCCAGACUCCUACGGGAGGCAGCAGUAGGGAAUCUUCCGCAAUGGGCGAAAGCCUGACGGAGCAACGCCGCGUGAGUGAUGAAGGUCUUCGGAUCGUAAAACUCUGUUAUUAGGGAAGAACAAAUGUGUAAGUAACUAUGCACGUCUUGACGGUACCUAAUCAGAAAGCCACGGCUAACUACGUGCCAGCAGCCGCGGUAAUACGUAGGUGGCAAGCGUUAUCCGGAAUUAUUGGGCGUAAAGCGCGCGUAGGCGGUUUUUUAAGUCUGAUGUGAAAGCCCACGGCUCAACCGUGGAGGGUCAUUGGAAACUGGAAAACUUGAGUGCAGAAGAGGAAAGUGGAAUUCCAUGUGUAGCGGUGAAAUGCGCAGAGAUAUGGAGGAACACCAGUGGCGAAGGCGACUUUCUGGUCUGUAACUGACGCUGAUGUGCGAAAGCGUGGGGAUCAAACAGGAUUAGAUACCCUGGUAGUCCACGCCGUAAACGAUGAGUGCUAAGUGUUAGGGGGGUUUCCGCCCCUUAGUGCUGCAGCUAACGCAUUAAGCACUCCGCCUGGGGGAGUACGACCGCAAGGUUGAAACUCAAAGGAAUUGACGGGGACCCGCACAAGCGGUGGAGCAUGUGGGUUUAAUUCGAAGCAACGCGAAGAACCUUACCAAAUCUUGACAUCCUCUGACCC
rnacentral:rRNA from 1 species